rnacentral:tRNA from 1 species
GCAUUGGUGGUUCAGUGGUAGAACUCUCACCUUUCGUGUGGGAGAGCAGGGUUCGGUUCCUGGCUAAUGCG